GUUUUUGGCUUUUCUGCCUGCAAAAAUCAUCAUCACUUGUAAAUUGAGGCAUCUCUUCUUAUCUGGUCUGCAGCCAGAGGGGCUGGAAGCAAUAGAAGAAGUGUGAACUUUCUCCUUCAUCUCAGAGAACAUUAACUUCAAAGCCCAGCCAUAAACUUUCAGAUGUAAUGACUAUUUGUCCAAAAGAGAAACACAUCAGCUUGAUCAAUGACUGAAAGGUAUAAAACACAGGGGUUACAUUUGCGAAACACUUGUGAAAAAUACACAGCUAUAGUUGGGUGCAGGGGGGGAUGUAAGUUGUUACUGGAUGAUUUGGGCAGGGAGGCCCUAGGAGCAGAGCCAAGAUUGUUGUAGGUCUAGCACUGAGUGGUUUCUGUCCCCAAGGCUGCCAUGUCAGAGCAUUCCUCAGCGUGCCUUUGGGUGCUGACCUUCAUCACAGAGCGGGGACCCUGUGGCUGUGUUGGCAGCUGAACCACCCCGACUUUUCCCAGUGAACAGCAGGAUAAACAUCUCCCCUCUCGGCUGCUUGGGCAGGGUGUUUGGGACCACCAGCACUUGCUCCUGUGUCCUUGCUUGAGCUGUGUGAGCAAUGACCCCCCGGAGGAAAAGCACCCUUGGGCACAGCCACCUUGUCCCCUGAGCAUCGCUGAGCUCCAGGCAGGGCGAGGGGUCCCCUGGCAGCCCGGCAGCGCUAACACAGCGAACACACACACACAGAGGUUUCAGACAACUCCGGUGAGAUUCUCCCUCCCUGCAUCCUUACUUUUUUUUAGCAUACUUUCCACUUUUCUGUUGAAAAUUCCCUGGAAAAGAAGAGUAAGAAUGUCUUUGUUUUUCCGUGGCUUGCAGAGGAAUCUGGAGGGAAGAGAACUUACAUUAUGUGACAUUUUUUUCCCCAGGGUAACCACUGCACAUGUCCUUCCUGAGACCAUCCCUUCACCCCUCAGCCAUUAGGGCUGUGUGAGGAGCGCAGACCCUGUCCUCUUCCCAGACAGUGGGUGCAUGGCCCCUCUGCAUGGCACACAGCACCUGGAGAGAGCACCUUGCAGGAUUAAUCAGCUAUUUGGUGAUAGUGUUUUUAAAGGAAGUAAUUGGGAGGUCUUGCUGCAAGGCACCAGCUCCCGCUCGCUGGGGCGCUGGGGCUGGGGGAUGCAGCCCAGGCCUGUGUGAUUCCUGCCCAAGGAUGGAGAGAGCAAAAUGCUGGAGUAUGAAGAGAGGUUUUGAAAGGCCUGUAACAUCUUCUGCCAACAUCUUUUUUGAAUCAGCCCUGCGUGAACAAGGCCAGGAGAACUGUGUCAUCCUGCAGGACAGCCGGGCUCGCUGUGGGGCAGCCCCAUGUGGGAUGGGGGACAGAGGGCUGCCACCACUGCUGGGGAGCAACAUGUCAGUGCCUGGGCUGCUGGCUGUUCUAUGGACUUCGCUGCACCUCACUUUCCCCCUGCCCUGUCCCCUCACCCC
rnacentral:lncRNA from 1 species